GCGGGUAUCGCCAAGUGGUAAGGCGACAGCCUUCCAAGCUGUUAUUCGUCGGUUCAAAUCCGUCUACCCGCUCCA
rnacentral:tRNA from 1 species